GACGAACGCUGGCGGCGUGCCUAAUACAUGCAAGUAGAACGCACAGUUUAUACCGUAGCUUGCUACACCAUAGACUGUGAGUUGCGAACGGGUGAGUAACGCGUAGGUAACCUGCCUGGUAGCGGGGGAUAACUAUUGGAAACGAUAGCUAAUACCGCAUAAUAUUAAUUAUUGCAUGAUAAUUAAUUGAAAGGUGCAAUUGCACCACUACCAGAUGGACCUGCGUUGUAUUAGCUAGUAGGUGAGGUAACGGCUCACCUAGGCGACGAUACAUAGCCGACCUGAGAGGGUGAUCGGCCACACUGGGACUGAGACACGGCCCAGACUCCUACGGGAGGCAGCAGUAGGGAAUCUUCGGCAAUGGACGAAAGUCUGACCGAGCAACGCCGCGUGAGUGAAGAAGGUUUUCGGAUCGUAAAGCUCUGUUGUAAGAGAAGAACGGGUGUGAGAGUGGAAAGUUCACACUGUGACGGUAUCUUACCAGAAAGGGACGGCUAACUUCGUG
rnacentral:rRNA from 1 species